CGAAUUUCGAGCGUGUCGGGAUGCGCGGUCGCGCACGCCAGAUGUUUGCCGAAGAACGAGCCGGAGAAUUUCUAUCGGAAUGACGUUCCGCGGCAGCGAUCGUUUGAGCUAACAAGUCAUUUUUCCGGUGCGGUAUUGGAUAAAGCGAAUGUAAUUGGAGUGUACGAGAUUCAAG